CCCUCCCCAGUGUCACUGUCCUAUCAGCCCCAAGCCCCCGUCCUGGAGCGUCAAGAGCUAGGGGAGGCCUUGGAAACCAUCUAGUCCCCACACUUCUGCGUGAGGAAACUGAGGACCAGAGAGGUCGUCCCUCCGGCCUGAGGCCACACAGCAAGUCAGAUGCAGUGCUGGGAUUGGAUCCAGUCUCUCGACUCCCACUGGAGGCAAGACCCAGCCCUGUGCUACCUGUCAUCACCUCACCAGAGCCACUGGCAUCACGCUGUGGAAGAACAGGGACACUAGUGUUUGCUAAGUAUCAACUGUGUGCCGGGCCCUGUGUAGCCUUUGCGUGUAUGGGUUCAGUUGCUUCCCCCAUCCCAUCUGGAAGAGAGGUAAUAUACUCCCCAUUUUACAGGUGGAGAGACCGAGGCUAAGAAAGGUGAAGUCACCGAGAUCAAGUCCCAGUAGGAUGAUGGCAGAGCUGGGACGAGAACUCAGGCGGCCUAACUCUUGGCUCUGUGCUCGGCACCUUCCAGAGUCGUGGCCAGGCCUGGCCCUGGAGUCGGACCAGGAAUUGCCUGCCUUGGGCAAGGAUUGAAGCUCCUUGGCUGUCCGACAGAAAUUCCAAGCAAGGCCUUUUGGAUUUUGUGAGGCGGGGCAUGGCUAAGAAAAUCCGGUGAAGCCCCGCCUGUGUUCCACGCACAGCUUUAUCGCCAUAUAACAUUGCCCACUAAUGGACACCAGCUUGCAUUUUCCUCUUGGAGAACAUUGAGCGAUUCUGGCCAGAAAUGGCAGAGCUCAGCGAUGAGAAAAUGCCAGCCAAAGACUUAGCAAGAGUGUCUGCACAACGUAGGUGCUCACAACUGCUAACGAGGCCUGAAAUGGCUGUUUGCCUGCUCCGAGUCACCUACCCAUUAUCUGACUCAUGGAGAAGAAUCCGAGGAGGAAGACGUGUCUCAGUCAGGAGGGAAGGCCAGCAUUUCCAUCUGGGGGUGGGAACCAGGGUAUUCGUCCCUCUCCUCUGACCUCUCACAGCACGGACCUGACUAUCGUGGGGCGCGCUGGUUUAGGGUACAAAGACCCCUGAUUCCAGACCAGUGGUCCGGGGUCCUAACUUUCAUGUGUCACCAGCCUCCCUCGGGCCUCAGUUUCCUCCUCUGUGAAAGGGAGAGGUGGGACCAGAGGGUACCCCUCACUUGGGCAGCUUUCAAGCAGUCCUGAGGCCCAGGCGUGACCCAGGUCGGCUGAACUUCUGUGGGUGCCAUUUGGGCCUCUGUGGUUUUGGUCGUGAUGCCGAGUGAAGGGUGGGAGCCCCCGGAUGGCUCUGGGGUCCCCAGUGGACGGAACGUAGCAGAGCUGUAUGGGGGAGGGGGGGCCAAUCAACUGCCGUGAGCAGGGCUUUGCAUAUCCUCUUAGCAUGCGUGUGGGUGAGUAACAGCCCUGACUGAGCAUCUGUCUCAGCCGGGAGCUGUCUCCCAGCAUGGGGGGCUGUUCCUCUCUUACCAUUAACAGGUGACAGGCGGCGGGCUCCUGGAUGCUUGCAGAGAGGAGGCUACGCGGGCCGAGAACCCCGGAAACGUCAUUCUUUUCUCCACGGGGAAGCUGGGCCACACUGAUUUGAACGCUGCUGGCAGGGAGCUCCCAGCUCUCGAGGCAAACUCUUCCCUUUGGGUGCGAGCCGGGCCAUCCAAAGACUUGGGGACUCCUCUCUGGACGGGGAUCCCAGCGAGCAGUUUGGGCUGGGGAUACAGCAGUUGCCCAUCGAGGGAGGGCCGGCAUCCAAGAAUAAGGAUAAUGGAAUCUGUGGCUGACAUGAGGGACAGGUUCCUGGAGUUGCCCCCCGGAGAGGCGCCCCCCUCGCCACCCUCACGAUGACCUGAUCUGGGGCUUCGCUUCGGAACCAAGGAACAAUGGGAAGAUUUGGAGGACAGUGGCCGGGAGAGCACAUUAGACAGAGAUUAUCCAUACCUCGCCGGACGUCAUAGAACAAAUACACGGAAGACGGGUGAUAUGAACUCAGGUCUUUCUGACAACAAAGCCCGCGUUCCUAAAACGUCCCCGCCUUCUGACAGGACGAUUGCUUUGCAAGCCCACGUCGAUGCGGAAGCUCCCUGUUAGUUUCUGUCAAUGCUCUUGCUUCUCACUGCCUCUUGUUUUCACCUCUUCCUCACCCUUGUCGCCUCCUCCUACCUUGUGCACAUCCUCGCUAUCUCAUGCCUACACCGUCUCCCCUGUCACCUGCCCGAGCAGGGACUCCCAGCCCGAGGGCUGUGGCUCGCCGGUGUGCCAGGAACCCUUGUCAGCUGGGACAUCAAGCCUCAAUCAGUGAGAAAAGCUUCUUCGUUAAUUCAUUUUUUUUUUUUUUGGAGGCUGCCACUAACAGGAGGGUGUCUGCAGACAGGACACUGAGUGGAGUGAGGGACACUGUGGCCGAACAUUGGGAGACUACCAAAGAAAGAUGGCGGGGAGGCUCAGUUCCUCAUGAUGACUCCGGGCUCAGGCUGAGAGGGCGGCCACCCCCUCGAGCCUGGCCAGUCCCCCGCCAGAAGGAAAACGAGCUGUGGUGUAUCUCGCACCUGCCCGGGCUAGAAGUGACUUCCGCUGGUUCCGCUCACAGUGCAUUGGCUGGAAUUAGUCACACGGCCUCGCCAACCAGCAGGCGUCUGGCAGAAAGGCGGGGGAGCUAGAACAACGUGCGGAGCGGCCCCCCUGAGGUCCCCAGUAUACCUCCCGCCUGGCAGAGAGCCUAGACGGGAACACUUUUUUGAUGAAAUAGUUUCCAGCCCAACCAGUGUCCCCAGAGUAGCGCUUGCCAAGGCACCGAUGACCUUUGUAUCGCUACCAGCGGUGGACGCUUUUCAGUCCUUGUCUCCCUUGACCUUGUGUGUAACACCUCGCUUUCCUUCUUAAUACAGGUCUCUUGGCUUCCUUCUGAGCUCCGUGACCAUAUGUCACGCUGUCUACUUGGCGUCUUCUUGAGAAUCUUCAACGUUACCUGAAACUUAAUAUGCUGAAGACCAAAGGGUCUUCCUCCCUCCACCCCUGGUCCCUAAGGCGGCCCCUCCCCGCCAGGGCUCCUCAGCUCACUAGAUGGCAAUGCCAUCCACCUGCUUACACAAGCCAGUGUCAUCCUUGGCCCUUCCCUCUCUCUCCCACACCAUUUCAUGUUAACCCCCUCACUCAGCCCUGACAAUUUUACUUCUUCGGCAUCUCUCCACUCCAUCCGCCCUCUCUCUCCUGCUCCAUCACUAGUCCGUGUGGCCUCGGUGUCCCAUCUGGUUGCUGUGAGGUCCCCCGGUGACCUCCGUGCCCAUCGAACCCCACCCAGAUGUUCUUCAUGCUGCACUCGGAGGGAUCCUUUCAAGAUGCAAAUUUGGUCACACAUUCCCUCUCCCCAUUCAAUAGCCCCGCCAUCGCUCUUGGGAAAAGGAUGAAAUCCUGGUCUCUGCUUGCUUCUCAUCCCAUCUCACUCCUGGCACAGCGCCUAGCACACAGUAGGCACUUGGAUCGGAACCCAGGCACUCUGAGCUGAGAACCAAGCUCCUCGUGUUUAUGCUGUUCUGCCCACUCCCUGCACUUGGCACAGAGGAGGUGACAACAUGGUGGCCUGUGGAUGGAACCCAGCAGAAGCAGGGGGGAAGGCUGCUAGCUGGGGGGUGAGUCAGCCCUCUCCCUGUGGUCUGAGGCUGUCAUCAGGAACCGCGACAGUCAUUUCUUUCUUUGUGGCUUUGAGGUCUGGGGGCAGAGGGUGUGGGCUCCUGAGACCCCUCGGGCUGCCAUGGAGAGCUCAGUGUGUUGGGACCCAGGGGAUACAGGAGGGACUCUGGGGAGUCCCUGGGGGAGCUGUCCCCCCCCCCCCCACUGGCUGUGGACCUCUAGGACAGUGAGGGCUCCAAGUGUGCAGAGGGUCGAAUUUCAUCUUAACUCCCAAGGAGGCUCCUGCCCCUGUUCUCCAGCUUACAGAUUAGGAAACUGAAGCAUGGAGAAUUUAAGGGACCGGCCCAAGUCCCCGUGGAUGUUCAGUGACACCGCCGGACUUGGUGCCAGGCCUGCCUGGUCCCCGAAGCCGCCCUCUCUCCCCGGUCCCAUGCCAGCCCCUCUGGGGGCAGCACUGCCUCUCUUCUGAGGGGCCAAGAGGAAGAGAAAGUGAGGGCGGAGCGGGGAGUUGGGUCCUGGCAGGAAGGGGAUUUGCCCCAAGGGUUCAGAUGAGGGAACUGAGGACAGAGGUUUCUCACGGAGGGGUGAGGGGUUGUGCGGGACGGAGGGACCCGUGAGACGGGCUGAGGCACCCCAAGACUAGCUGGGGUGGGAGCUGGGCUGGAGGGGUGGGGGGGGGCAGUGUUGUGGGGACCUGCUGAGAACCGGACCCUGGAGGAGACGCUGUGGUCAUGGAGGAUGUGGGGACCGCUGGCGGCACACCCCUGCCCGUCUCCACCGCCGGCUCCUCUCCUGCGGGCCUCCCCUGGACUGAGCCCCAGCGGGACAAGCAGGCAAAGGAGGCUGGGGAGGAUGCUGUCCUAGGGGCCAGUCCCCUGGGGAUGCAGACUAGCUACCAUGGGGACCCAGGGGAGGCCUGUGGGGCUGCAGGUGUGAAGACGCAGGGCCCAGAGGCUGGGGGGCAGUGAGUCAAUGUGCACAGUGUCUCCCUUUGUCCCCGCCCACCCCAAAUGCAGGGAACAGUCAGCCGGCCUGCCUUCUCCCCCAAACAUGGCAGUGCUUGCCCCCAGAGCCUCCUUCUGGCCCUUCCCAUGUCUGUUUCUUGUCGGGGGUGGGGGGGCUUUCCCAAGACUGGGGUAAAAAUCCGGCAUCACCCUGGGGGUGACUGUCCCCCGGGGAUCGACUGUCCCCGGCUGAGGCUGGGUCCUUAGCUCCUUUCUCAAUCUCUCUCUCUCUCUCUCUCUCUCUCUCUCUCUCUCCCCCUCCUUCCCUCCAC